AAGGACCAAAAAAUCUGUCCAAACCAGCCAUCAAAGUAGGCACGCACGAGGACCUCCAAGAGGACCCUACUGUGGAAGUUUGAACUCUCCCUCCAACCUACUAGCUUGCAUAACUUGGUUGAGUUCAGAGGUAAAAUGGAGCAGCCCUCUUGAUGUGCUUUUGUUUUAGGGUUGCUAUUACUUUUGUUUAUGCCUUUG